GAUGAACGCUAGCUACAGGCUUAACACAUGCAAGUCGAGGGGCAGCAUGUCGGUUGCUUGCAACCGAUGAUGGCGACCGGCGCACGGGUGAGUAACGCGUAUCCAACCUGCCUCUUACCAGGGAAUAACACGUCGAAAGGCGGACUAAUGCCCUAUGCCCUCCGCGGCAGACAUCUAAUGCGGAGGAAAGAUUAAUCGGUAAGUGAUGGGGAUGCGUUUGAUUAGCUUGUUGGCGGGGUAACGGCCCACCAAGGCAACGAUCAGUAGGGGUUCUGAGAGGAAGGUCCCCCAAAUUGGAACUGAGACACGGUCCAAACUCCUACGGGAGGCAGCAGUGAGGAAUAUUGGUCAAUGGGCGGAAGCCUGAACCAGCCAAGUAGCGUGCAGGACGACUGCCCUAUGGGUUGUAAACUGCUUUUAUGCGGGGAUAAAUGACACUACGUGUAGUGUUUUGCAGGUACCGCAUGAAUAAGGACCGGCUAAUUCCGUGCCAGCAGCCGCCGUAAGAC
rnacentral:rRNA from 1 species